rnacentral:SRP_RNA from 1 species
UGGGGAGGCCGCUGUUGGAUUCCCCUGGAGGGGACGGCCGGAAGCGCAUUACGUCCCGAACGCUUCCUGGCACGGCCCUCGGAAGGGAGCAUUCGCUUUCAAGCCUGCCCACAAGUCGGAAGCGGACGUUGCCGGGGUCGAAUCGAGGUGGAGACGGCCG